AGCCUAAUUGCAUCAAUUAACUAGGACUCUUCCUAAUUAAUUUUUAAAUUAAAUUCUUUUAAUUCUUAUAAGUUCACAUGUCAAAAUUGACGUCUAGCAAUAUGUCAUGACUAUCCAAAAGAGACGGAAUUUGGUAAAAAUACUAAAAAUACCCUUCAGUGGCAAGUUAUCAUGCAAUUCAAUUCUUCAGUCAAACAAUACCCCAGAUGAGUUUUGGGCAUGAAAUUAUGUCAAGUUCAAUUGCUUAUCUAAAUGUAUCUCGAUCAGAAAGUGAUUCUUUUCUAAUUAUCAUCCUGCUUUGGCCAAAGACUUCCAGAAUCAUCUAUUUAUAAGAUCACAUAGGAUGUUCGCUCUCCUUAUUAAGAGUGAUCAAUCUCUUAUUGACCACUCAUAAUCUUCAUGCAUACUUUACCAUAUCCAAAACACCCCACAC
rnacentral:lncRNA from 1 species